CGUAGGUGGCAAGCGUUGUCCGGAUUUAUUGGGUUUAAAGGGUGCGUAGGCGGUCUUUUAAGUCAGUGGUGAAAUACUUCAGCUCAACUGGAGAGGUGCCAUUGAUACUGGGAGACUUGAGUACUGAUGAGGUAGGCGGAAUGGACGGUGUAGCGGUGAAAUGCUUAGAUAUCGUCCAGAACACCGAUAGCGAAGGCAGCUUACUAAGGAGUAACUGACGCUGAGGCACGAAAGUGUGGGGAUCAAACAGGAUUAGAUACCCUGGUAGUCCACACUGUAAACGAUGAUUACUCGAUGUUGGCGAUACACAGCCAGCGUCUUAGCGAAAGCGUUAAGUAAUCCACCUGGGGAGUACGCCGGCAACGGUG
rnacentral:rRNA from 1 species